rnacentral:lncRNA from 1 species
ACAACAUUUGACAAAUUCUAGCAGUUGAUUACUGGGGAGGAGUAGACUGUGGUUAUAAUCAGAGUAAACCAAAAAAAUGUGUACCUUUAUAAACCUAGAGUUUAAAUGAAACAUCUGUACCAAAUCAUGUUUGUAGAACAGCACUGUAGCCAACUACCAGACCAUAUGAUAAUGGAGUGUUUUUAACAAUCCCUAUUUCCAUCUCCAUCCUCCAAAUCAGAUCCAGACUGUGCCCACUGGCAUGAAUUCUGUUGGAAACCAAUUGGGAUAGUGUCAGGCUACAGUGGAUGCUGUCAGCUGAGAUACGGAUACCCAUAAAAAGUUAGCGAUUCCAAUACCUCAUGGAAAUCAUAAGCACAGGCAGAAACUCAGGAGUCAUUGAGGGCCCCACUGGUGGAAACCACCUGCAGCAGAGGCUUUAGUGUCUUAGAGACUCAGGAAACUUACCACUUUAGUCAAAAUGGCUGUAUUGAGGUAGCCUGGCUUGUUUUUUAUACAUCUGGAGGAAGACAUUUGCCAUCCAAGGUGUGGAGUUCCAGAACAACCUCCUAG